CACCAAAAUAAGAGAGAAAUAAUAGAAGUUAGAGAGAGUAAUCUACAUAUUGUAGUCUGUGAGAUAAAUAGUAAGUGUGAGUAAUAUUGUAGUAAGGUGUUUUAAAUAAAGAGUGUUAUUUCUUUCAAAAUUGUAGUAGUCUCUUGACACUACUAAGUUGUAAUAUUAUAGUGGUUAUAUUGCUUCGCUCGGGUAUUGUAUUUUACCCAUUAAAAGAGUUUGUGUCGUUGUUACUCUCUUGUGUUAUUAUUAUUUGUUGUGGAUAUUAUUCCUGGGCGGAAUUAUUAUUUUUCCUAACAUAUUCAUCAUCUAAUUUAUCUAUUUUUUCUAAUUUUUUUUUUGAAAGAUACGUGUAAAUUUAAUGUAGUCUCCUUGACCUGUGUAUUUUGAUAUGGGUAGGUGCAAAAUCAGUGAAGGUGGAGUUAAAGCAGGAGUUAAAGCAACAGAAAGCGACUGUAAAGAAGUGCGAGCUAUGUCCAUAUAUAAGCUUAUGAUCCUUCUAUCAAUGCUGUAAGUUAUUAGUAGAUAGAUCUUUUGAAUUUGUUGCACUUAAGAUUUAGAUCAAUUAUACUAUUCAUCUACUAAUGUAAAAAAGUUUCACUUGAACCACUGCAUUAGUACUGCAAUCAACUUACUAAUGAAAUAAAAUUAGUAAAUAAUUUCAUGGAUGCUCCGUUUAACUCUGUCGUUGUCUACCUUAUUAACUCUGGGAAUUUCUGCACACAAGCUCAUUCCUGCAGACACUGUCACUAUAUAUUUAUUUACACUUGUUGUUAGUACUUACAGAAAGGAAUGACAAGGAUUUCAAAGGUACACAAUGUAUAACGAACCAGUAAAAGCUUUGUUGUAAUACAAAUAAAUAACAAAGGAAUCUCCUCUCAGAGCUUGAACAAAAAUGACAGAAUAUGUUAGAUUUAAAUCAAAAGUUAUAUAGACAAACCAGAGGAAAGGACCAAACUUUAACAAUAAAGUGCUAAUCAUCAUUUUAAAUAGGGAUAAGUACAGGAAAGUAUAUCUACCUUACAAUUUUUUUUCGAACUGAGGCAGGUACAAAAUAGUUUAUCUGUAUAUUUAAACUGCUCACCAAAGUGGUAGCCGGUCUACUUGAACUGCAUUCUCUGUCCAUACUUUAUAAGGCUACUGUCAACAAGACUAAAGUAUCUAACUACAACAGGAAAACACAUAAAGGCGAUUUUUCAGUUAUGUUCUUCACGUAUUAAUUAGUUAUUGCUUAUUAAAUUUAAUUAGCGUGUGAAGCAAAAUGAGAAUAAGCAAUUGAGUUCAUGUUUUUGAAUGACCAUCUGUUAAUUGUUCUCCUCAUGGUUGAUCGUAACUCGUAUGCACUAUAUAAUACGCAGUUCGAGCUCUUUUGCAGAUGAAGCGGAAAGUAUAUAGUGGAACCUAAACUGAAGAAGGAACCUGUCCAUUGCCUCGUGGAAAGAGGCGGAUCUAUGGUUUAAGUUCUAUGGGUUCAACCUUUAAAGUUUUUAGCAUUUAACCAAUUAUAUUUUUA
rnacentral:lncRNA from 1 species